AAAGUCGUAACAAGGUAACCGUAGGUGAACCUGCGGUUGGAUCAUUAAUAAAUUCAAGGGAGUCGGCUAGCUUCGGUUAGUGCGAUUCCUGGGCUCUCGGGCCUUGAACCCACUGUGAACUGUUUGACUUGGCCUAGCUUGCUAGCGUCAACUUUUAACCUAAUCUUAUUUGUCUUAUAAAAAUUAAAUAGCAACAACUUUUGACAACGGAUCUCUAGGCUCUC
rnacentral:misc_RNA from 1 species